GGAAGGGCUGCAUUUUUUGAAAAACGCAGCCCUUCUUAGUGAAGGGCUGCGGUUAGCCCAAAAACCGCAGUCCUUCACUUACGAAGGGCUGCGGUCCAUGCGAAAACUGCAACCCUUUUAGUGAAGGGCUGCGGUUUUUUAAAAAUCGCAACCUUAUAAGUAAUAAAGGGCUGCGUUUUCUAAAAAAGCGCAGCCCUUUAUGGGCUUUUUUAAAAAACAAAUUUGAAAGGAAUUAAUUGCAGGCUUAACAUAUUAAGCGGGCUCAUUCUCCUUCCUUUUCUCCUCUCCCUCAUUCUCUCUCCUCUCUCACGUCCUUCCUUCUCCCUUCUCUCUCACCCUCCUUCCUCCUCCCUUCUCUCUCACCCUCCUUCCUCCUCCCUCCUUCCACAACAACAAAUAUUUGUUCUCUCCCACCCUCCGACGGCAGCGAAUAUUCGUUCCUUCUCCUCUUAAUGAGGGUUCGUCGUUCGUUGACCUGCACCGCCUUGCCACGCCGCGCUGUUCCUCGUCGUUUGUUCGUUCUCUCUCACCCUCCGACGGUAGCGAAUAUUCGUUCCUUCUUCUCUCAAUAAGUUUUUGCAUACCAGGUUGCUAUCCUUUUUAUAUUUAUAAUUUAUUUGAGCAUUAGUGUUACUAGACGUGGUUUUAUUUUUCAUUUUUUUUUUAGAAAUUUCUAACAUAUGCUCCAUCUGUUGUAUUGGCUGAUUAUAGAUGCCUUUGAAGGCAGCUGAGAGAGAUGUUUAUGAAUUUUUUUCUAAAGCUGGCAAGGUGAGGGAUGUCCGACUGAUAAUGGACCGAAACUCAAGGCGUUCGAAAGGGGUUGGCAAUGCGAUAAAGAUUUCCAUGACGAGGGAUGAUGGGAAUACCUUGCUCUCAUGUUUAAUCAAUUCAUGCAGCAUUCUGA